AAUAAUAAGUCAGUGGUGAAAUCUUGCCGCUUAACGGUGAAACUGCCAUUGAAACUGUUAUUCUUGAGUGUAGUUGAGGUAGGCGGAAUGUGUAGUGUAGCGGUGAAAUGCUUAGAUAUUACACAGAACACCUAUUGCGAAGGCAGCUUACUAAACUACUACUGACGUUGAGGCACGAAAGCGUGGGGAGCGAACAGGAUUAGAUACCCUGGUAGUCCACGCUGUAAACUAUGAUCACUCGUUGUUCGCGAUACAUUGUGAGCGACCAAGCGAAAGCAUUAAGUGAUCCACCUGGGGAUUACGUCGGCAACGAUGAAACUCAAAGGAAUUGACGGGGGCCCGCACAAGCGGAGGAACAUGUGGUUUAAUUCGAUGAUACGCGAGGAACCUUACCUGGGCUUAAAUGCAGAACGAUAUAUCGGGAAACUGGUAUUCCCUUCGGGGCGGACUGCAAGGUGCUGCAUGGUUGUCGUCAGCUCGUGCCGUGAGGUGUCGGGUUAAGUCCCAUAACGAGCGCAACCCUUAUUGUUAGUUGCCAGCGGGUAAUGCCGGGGACUCUAACGGAACUGCCAUCGUAAGGUGGAGGAAGGUGGGGAUGACGUCAAAUCAGCACGGCCCUUAUGUCCAGGGCUACACACGUGUUACAAUGGCCAGUACAAAGGGCAGCUACCUGGAGACAGGAUGCUAAUCUCGAAAACUGGUCUCAGUUCGGAUCGUAGUCUGCAAUUCGACUACGUGAAGUU
rnacentral:rRNA from 1 species